GCAGAGGCCUGGCCCUGAUGUGCCUCGGCGCUGUGACCCAGGGUUAAAAUUGCUCUACAGCCAAACUUCAGACUUUCCAAAAACCACAUUUCAAAGCAGUGGCCAUCAAGAUCGAACCGCAAAUCAUCUGUUGCUCUGGUUCUUAAUUAUUUCAGGGAACUGAAGACACGAAUAAAGCAACCUUUGGCUCAGGAUGGGGCAUCCUCCCAUGACCUAGCCAGAAAAGCAGCUGAAAAAGUGAAGUCAGAUGUUUUCAGCACAUUGUGGGUGACGGAGAGACAACUUUAAGAAAGCAGUAUGACCUCCUGGAACUUGUGCCUGCUUGCUCUGAACCCACCGAUUAAAGCUCCCACAGGAAACCUGUUUGGAUAAUGCACUGUUUGGAUAACGCACUGUUUGGAUAACACACGGGGCCCAAUAAAGGCGUUGGCCAAGAGGUCUCUUUUCUCUCUCCGCCUGCGCCCCUGAUUUCCAUGUACCAUGUACUCCCUCAGAUCUGUAAGUGCCAAAAACUCCUAAAUCUUCACAUUAGGGUUGUGUCAUUGACACCAUGCCCACGGUCCAACCUCUGAGGACUGGCGAGGUCCCAGAAGCCCCAUGGACAUGGACUCCCUGCUGGUGCUCUUUCGUCCAAGCCUCUCAGCAACUGGGACAGUAGUUACCAGCUAAAUUGAUAGAGUGUCAUUCAAAACACCUUCCCCAUUGCCUCUGAAUACAGCUGGUAAGGAUUCUCUUAUUUUAAGGACUUAUGUGAUUAGAUUGGGUUUACCCAGAUAAUCCAUGGUAAUCCCCAUCCGUAACCAUAAUCCCAUCUGCAAAGCCCCUUUUGCUACCUAAGGUGCAUAUUCAUAGGUUCUUGGGAUUAGUGGGGUUCCGUAGGCUGUCAUUCUGCCCAUCGUGUGUGAAAGAUCCACCCCGGGAACUUGGUCUGUGGAGUCUCAGGCCGCACCUGCAGAGAUUCAGACCCAGUGUGUCUGGGGCCAGGCCCAGGGACUGGCAGGUGUAACAAGUACCCAACCAGCUAGCGCAGGUGGCCUGAGGAGCUCACCCUUGAGAAGCACCAACUUGGAUGCACACCAGGCUGCCACCCCCAUGGCUCGCCCCGAUGCCCCCAGGAGCCCCUGGAGACAGAAAAGAGGAAUACUCAUGCCCACUCUGAGGCUGGAGGCGGGCACUCAGGCUGAGAAGAGGGCGCCUUAUUGACCAGGACAGAGACAGGGCUGGGGCUCCAGUCUUCAGGCACACAGUUGGGUGCGGCUGUGUGGCAGGGGGAGGGGGUGGUGGCCCCUCCCACAGCAACCCGCAGGCCUCAGCAGUAACUGAGCCCCCUCUGAACCUGCCACCCUGGACCUGCAUGAGGCACCUUCCACAGGGCUCACCCCUCAGAGCUCCCCACCCACAGACCUCUGCUCCAGGAGAGAGAUUCCAUCUGCAGGGAGGGUGCUGGCACCGAGCCCUGCCAGAGCCACUUCCCUUGCAGGCGCGGCUGCGUGUGUGUCACCUGUGCUGUGUUCUGAUCUAAUUGUUUGUAAUUACAAAGUAGCGG
rnacentral:lncRNA from 10 species